ensembl:lncRNA
CAAACUGGUGAAAAGCUGUGUUGUUCUGCCCCCUACCGGUAGAAACGGAACACAGCCCAUUACCUGAACACACUUGUCUCUGCUGCUGAGAGUCAGAAGCGUUGAUCUGACCACGGGCUGUGAUCUCAGUGACCUUUCCAGGGGUCAGCUGGCGGCUAUGGUGACAGAGGGGUCAGUCUGCGGCCUCGGUUCAUCUCUCGGUCAACAUCAGAUAACAAGUUGAUCCAGCAUUCUUUUGACUGACGUGAUGCAGAGACAGAGCUUGGCUCGAUCAGGACGUCGUCUCGGCCAGACCCCCGCCGUGCCACCCCAGCCCGCCCACAGCCGAUCAAUAUGACUGGAGUUGGAGAAACAGGCCGACCGUCCACUAGGGGCAGAAGACGCUGCCAAACUAGUGAAGUGUGCUGCUGGAUAUAAGCCUCAUGCCUGUGUAAUACUGCUAACCUGAAGUGAUCAUGCUGAUCAUCGUGAUGUUUAUGCUCAAGCUCCCUGCGUUACCGCCGCUCUGCAUGUUGGCCGGUUGCGGAGGCUCUGUGGUUUGGUGCAACUCUGUCAGCGGGGUCAACAGGCACUUGUACCCUGUCAUUAUUCGGUGACUGAAAGACAUACAGUGAAAGAAAAGACUGAUUGAAUGAAAAAAACAAAAAAACACUGAGGAAUGAAACGCCCUGGAUAAAUAAAAGGAUCGAGUUUGGAGGAGAGUCAACAUCAACCUGUAGGUGUGAGAGGGGGAGAACAAAGCUUGCCAAAGACCUGUUUGCAUGGAGACUCG